rnacentral:sRNA from 1 species
AUGGCUGUCGUCAGCUCGUGUCGUGAGAUGUUGGGUUAAGUCCCGCAACGAGCGCAACCCCCGUCCUUAGUUGCUACCAUUUAGUUGAGCACUCUAAGGAGACUGCCGGUGAUAAGCCGCGAGGAAGGUGGGGAUGACGUCAAGUCCUCAUGGCCCUUACGGGCUGGGCUACACACGUGCUACAAUGGCGGUGACAAUGGGACGCUAAGGGGCAACCCUUCGCAAAUCUCAAAAAGCCGUCUCAGUUCGGAUUGGGCUCUGCAACUCGAGCCCAUGAAGUUGGAAUCGCUAGUAAUCGUGGAUCAGCACGCCACGGUGAAUACGUUCCCGGGCCUUGUACACACCGCCCGUCACACCAUGGGAGUUGGUUCUACCUGAAGACGGUGCGCUAACCCGCAAGGGAGGCAGCCGGCCACGGUAGGGUCAGCGACUGGGGUGAAGUCGUAACAAGGUAGCCGUAGGGGGACCUGCGGCUGGAUCACCUCCUUUCUAAGGAUGGUUCUUCAGAAGCUUGCUUCUAUCGAACCUCUUCAGAAACAUCAGGGGCCAACAGUUUCAGGAUUGUUGAGCUCCAUUGGCGGGAUUUCGCCGUCUUCGUUUCUCUUUCUUCGCGGACGAACACGCGCCAGGGGCUGCGCUUGUGCUGACCAUCCGGCGUGAAGCCGGCUGCGCGCGAGCAAGUUCCCGUUUCCCUUUUUUGGGAUAAGCGUUAGGGGCUUGUAGCUCAGUUGGUUAGAGCGCGCGCUUGAUAAGCGUGAGGUCGGAAGUUCAAGUCUUCCCAGGCCCACCAGCCUUCGCUGCUCUACAGCUUCGGCUCGGCAGGCCCUCUUGAACGAAGGCUGCUGCGCCAUAGCGCCAGCGAAGGCGAGCGCGCAAAAGCAUUCGUCUUCUGGUACGGGGCCAUAGCUCAGCUGGGAGAGCGCGUGCUUUGCAAGCAUGAGGUCGUCGGUUCGAUCCCGUCUGGCUCCACCAGCCUUCGCUGGCUGCGCCAGCUACGGCUCGGCAAGCCUAUCUUAGCGAAGGCUGCCGCGUCGAAGCUCGAAGAGCGAAGACGGGCCGCUCGACUAUCGAGCCAAAACAAUCGUCCGCGAAACAUCACUUCGCACGUUGCGUCCUUAUCGGAUGGACGUGCGGGAUUUCUGACAUCGUAAAGAGGAGAUUGAUCCGAGUUUGGGAUCUGCGAAGCAAUUCGCGGAAUCGCAAUCACUAUCUCCGGGACGUUUCGGCGCUCGUUCAUCGCAAGAUGAUCGAGUUGUAAAUGUCCUUGUUGGUGAAGCUUGACCGCCUCAUCAUCGGGUUGAUCUUACGAAGCAAGCUGGUCUUUCUAAUCAGUGUCCAGCCGCAUGCAGCAUUCAUCGAGGGUGCGCGCCUCCAGGAUUUCGAUCUUGGGGCAAGUGUGCGGACUACAUUCUGCCGAGUGUGUGGACAUUGAUAAUGAGAGCAAUCAAGUGCCUUAAGGGUGUUCGGUGGAUGCCUUGGCGCUGAGAGGCGAUGAAGGACGUGCUACGCUGCGAUAAGCCGUGGGGAGCUGCGAAGAAGCUUUGAUCCACGGAUUUCCGAAUGGGGAAACCCGG